AACGCUAGCUACAGGCUUAACACAUGCAAGUCGCGGGGCAGCAUGUAUCUGGCUUGCCAGGUACGAUGGCGACCGGCGCACGGGUGAGUAACGCGUAUCCAACCUGCCCAUAACCACGGCACAGCCCGUCGAAAGGCGGAUUAAUGCCGUAUGAGGUUCCAUUGUAGCAUUAUUAUGGAACGAAAGGAUUGGCGGUUAUGGAUGGGGAUGCGUCCGAUUAGCUUGUUGGCGGGGUAACGGCCCACCAAGGCGACGAUCGGUAGGGGUUCUGAGAGGAAGAUCCCCCACAUUGGAACUGAGACACGGUCCAAACUCCUACGGGAGGCAGCAGUGAGGAAUCUUGGUCAAUGGGCGCAAGGCCUGAACCAGCCACGUAGCGUGAAGGAAGACUGCCCUUAGGGUUGUAAACUUCUUUUAUAAGGGAAUAACGUCAGUAACGAGUUACUGAUUGCAUGUACCUUAUGAAUAAGGAUCGGCUAACUCCGUGCCAGCAGCCGCGGUAAUACGGAGGAUCCGAGCGUUAUCCGGAUUUAUUGGGUUUAAAGGGUGCGUAGGCGGGAGCGGAAGUCAGCUGUGAAAUUUUAUGGCUCAACCAUAAACUUGCAGUUGAAACUCCUUUUCUUGAGUACACAAGAGGUGGGCGGAAUUUGUGGUGUAGCGGUGAAAUGCUUAGAUAUCACGAAGAACUCCGAUUG
rnacentral:rRNA from 2 species